rnacentral:rRNA from 1 species
CCCCAGCGCCACUAGUGGGAAUCGGUAUUAUUGGGUCUAAAGCGUCCGUAGCAGGUCUGUUAAAUUACUUGUGAAAUCGCAUCACUCAAUGAUGCGGAUUGCAGGUAAGACUGGCAGACUAGAGACUGGGAGACGUUGGAGGUAUUCAAAGGGGAGCGGUAAAAUGCGAGAAUCCUUUGAAGACCACCUGUUGCGAAGGCGUCCAACAAUAACAGGUCUGACUGUGAGGGUCGAAAGCUAGGGGAGCGAACCG